UACGUAGGGGGCAAGCGUUGUCCGGAUUUAUUGGGCGUAAAGAGCGUGUAGGCGGUUUGGUAGGUCCUCUGUGAAAACUCGAGGCUCAACCUCGAGACGCCGGUGGAAACCAUCAGACUAGAGUCCGGAAGAGGAGAGUGGAAUUCCUGGUGUAGCGGUGAAAUGCGCAGAUAUCAGGAAGAACACCCGUGGCUAAGGCGGCUCUCUAGUACGGUACUGACGCUGAGACGCGAAAGCGUGGGGAGCGAACAGG
rnacentral:rRNA from 1 species